AGUGAACGCUGGCGGUAGGCCUAACACAUGCAAGUCGAACGGCAGCACAGUAAGAGCUUGCUCUUACGGGUGGCGAGUGGCGGACGGGUGAGGAAUACAUCGGAAUCUACUUUUUCGGGGGGAUAACGUAGGGAAACUUACGCUAAUACCGCAUACGACCUACGGGUGAAAGCAGGGGAUCUUCGGACCUUGCGCGAUUGAAUGAGCCGAUGUCGGAUUAGCUAGUUGGCGGGGUAAAGGCCCACCAAGGCGACGAUCCGUAGCUGGUCUGAGAGGAUGAUCAGCCACACUGGAACUGAGACACGGUCCAGACUCCUACGGGAGGCAGCAGUGGGGAAUAUUGGACAAUGGGCGCAAGCCUGAUCCAGCCAUACCGCGUGGGUGAAGAAGGCCUUCGGGUUGUAAAGCCCUUUUGUUGGGAAAGAAAAGCAGCAGGUUAAUACCCCGCUGUUCUGACGGUACCCAAAGAAUAAGCACCGGCUAACUUCGUG
rnacentral:rRNA from 1 species